rnacentral:rRNA from 1 species
GGACUACCAGGGUAUCUAAUCCUGUUCGCUCCCCACGCUUUCGUCCAUCAGCGUCAAUAUGAUGUUAGUAACCUGCCUUCGCAAUUGGUAUUCCAUGUAAUAUCUAAGCAUUUCACCGCUACACUACAUAUUCUAGUUACUUCACAGCAAUUCAAGUUCUACAGUAUCAAUGGCAGUUCGAUAGUUGAGCUACCGGAUUUCACCACUGACUUAUAAAACCGCCUACGGACCCUUUAAACCCAAUGAUUCCGGAUAACGCUUGGAUCCUCCGUAUUACCGCGGCUGCUGGCAC